rnacentral:rRNA from 1 species
AACGAACGCUGGCGGCAGGCCUAACACAUGCAAGUCGAGCGCCCUUUCGGGGAAGCGGCGGACGGGUGAGUAACGCGUGGGAAUAUGCCCUUCUCUACGGAAUAUCCUCGGGAGACUGAGAGUAAUACCGUAUACGCCCUGUGGGGGAAAGAUUUAUCGGGGAAGGCUUAGCCCGCGUUGGAUUAGGUAGUUGGUGGGGUAAUGGCCUACCAAGCCGACGAUCCAUAGCUGGUUUGAGAGGAUGAUCAGCCACACUGGGACUGAGACACGGCCCAGACUCCUACGGGAGGCAGCAGUGGGGAAUCUUAGACAAUGGGGGCAACCCUGAUCUAGCCAUGCCGCGUGAGUGAUGAAGGCCUUAGGGUUGUAAAGCUCUUUCAGCUGGGAAGAUAAUGACGGUACCAGCAGAAGAAGCCCCGGCUAACUCCGUG